GCGAGAGUGGCGGAAUUGGCAGACGCACUAGACUUAGGAUCUAGCGGUUAUCCGUGGGGGUUCGAAUCCCCCCUCUCGCACCA
rnacentral:tRNA from 1 species